rnacentral:rRNA from 1 species
GACGAACGCUGGCGGCGUGCUUAACACAUGCAAGUCGAACGGCAAGGCCCUGCUUUUGUGGGGUGCUCGAGUGGCGAACGGGUGAGGAACACGUGAGUAACCUGCCCUUGACUUUGGGAUAACUUCAGGAAACUGGGGCUAAUAUCGGAUAGGAGCCCCCGCUGCAUGGAGGGGGGUGGAAAGUCUCGGCGGGUGGGGAUGGACUCGCGGCUUAUCAGCUUGUUGGUGGGGUAGUGGCUUACCAAGGCAUUGACGGGUAGCCGGCCUGAGAGGGUGACCGGCCACAUUGGGACUGAGAUACGGACCAGUCUCCUACGGGAGGCAGCAGGGGGGAAUAUUGCACAAUGGGAGGGAGCCUGAUGCAGCAACGCCGCGGUCGUGAUGACGGCCUGCGGGUUAUAAACCGCUUUCGCCUAUGACGAAGCGUGAGUGACGGUAAUGGAUAAAGAAGCACCGGCUAACUACGUG